UUCCUGUUGGCUCAGCGGUAAAGAAUCUGCCUGCAGUGCAGGAGACACAGGUUUGAUCCCUGGAUUGGGAA
rnacentral:tRNA from 1 species